rnacentral:tRNA from 1 species
UAUAUAUUAAUGUAUAUUGCAUAAAAUAUUUUGAAUAUUUAAGUAAUAAAUUUUAUUUUAUUAUAUAUAA